rnacentral:rRNA from 1 species
UUGCAGCCCUUGGUCGACAGGGUCGCCGGGCACUUGCCCACCUGGAAAGCAUGGCUUAUGAAUAGAGCCGGCAGGCUUGCCCUCGUCAAGUCAGUCCUCUGCGCGAUCCCUGUGCACCAGCUGCUUGCUUUUGCCCCCGCGAAGAAAACUCUGCGGCAGCUCGAGAAGAUUCAACAGGGAUUCUUAUGGGCUGGGCGAGCCGUCACCAACGGUGGUCACUGCCAUGUGAACUGGCGCCUCGUCUCCCGCCCCCUCGAGCUUGGGGGCCUCGGGGUUCGUGACCUCGAGCGCACAGGGCUUGCGCUCAGACUGCGGUGGCUUUGGCUCUCGCGAACUGAUGACGGACGCGCCUGGCAAGGGCUGGAUCUU